rnacentral:rRNA from 1 species
AAGUCGUAACAAGGUCUCCGUAGGUGAACCUGCGGAGGGAUCAUUACACAAUAACCAGGCGGGCUGGACACCCCCCGCUGGGCACUGCUUCACGGCGUGCGCGGCGGGGCCGGCCCUGCUGAAUUAUUCACCCGUGUCUUUUGCGUACUUCUUGUUUCCUGGGUGGGCUCGCCCGCCCUCAGGACCAACCACAAACCUUUUGCAAUAGCAAUCAGCGUCAGUAACAACGUAAUUAAUUACAACUUUCAACAACGGAUCUCUUGGUUCUGGCAUCGAUGAAGAACGCAGCGAAAUGCGAUACGUAGUGUGAAUUGCAGAAUUCAGUGAAUCAUCGAAUCUUUGAACGCACAUUGCGCCCUUUGGUAUUCCAAAGGGCAUGCCUGUUCGAGCGUCAUUUGUACCCUCAAGCUUUGCUUGGUGUUGGGCGUCUUUUGUCUCCAGUUCGCUGGAGACUCGCCUUAAAGUCAUUGGCAGCCGGCCUACUGGUUUCGGAGCGCAGCACAAGUCGCGCUCUUUGCCAGCCAAGGUCAGCGUCCAGCAAGCCUUUUUUUCAACCUUUGACCUCGGAUCAGGUAGGGAUACCCGCUGAACUUA